rnacentral:rRNA from 1 species
AGUCGCGCGACAAGUCUUCAUUAGCUUGCUAUUGAAGAUGGAGGAGCGGCGAAAGGGUGAGUAACGCGUGGAUACCUACCCCCAGGCCCGGGAUAGCGUUGGGAAACCGACGGUAAUACCGGAUAACAUCUCCGGAUCAAAGGUGUGAUUCCGCCUGAGGAUGGGUCCGCGUCCUAUUAGCUUGUUGGUGGGGUAAAGGCCUACCAAGGCGAAGAUGGGUACCGGGUGUGAGAGCAUGGCCCGGCACACUGGGACUGAGACACUGCCCAGACACCUACGGGUGGCUGCAGUCGAGAAUCUUCCGCAAUGGGCGAAAGCCUGACGGAGCGACGCUGCGUGCGGGAUGAAGGCCUUCGGGUUGUAAACCGCUGUCAGUGGGGAGCAAAUCGUUGGGGGCUAUCCCCUUUCGUUGAGCGAUCCACAGAGGAAGCGCAGGCUAAGUUCGUGCCAGCAGCCGCGGUAACACGAACUGCGCGAACGUUAUUCGGAAUCACUGGGCUUAAAGAGUCCGUAGGCGGCUCGGUAGGUGGGGUGUGAAAGCCCACGGCUCAACCGUGGAACUGCGCUCCAAACCAUCGGGCUUGAGGGAGAUAGAGGAGAGCGGAACUGAUGGUGGAGCGGUGAAAUGCGUUGAUAUCAUCAGGAACACCGGUGGCGAAAGCGGCUCUCUGGGUCUCUUCUGACGCUGAGGGACGAAAGCUAGGGGAGCGAACGGGAUUAGAUACCCCGGUAGUCCUAGCUGUAAACGAUGAGCACUAGAUCGAGGGGACUCUCACAUCUUCUUGGUCGUAGCGAAAGUGUUAAGUGCUCCGCCUGGGGAGUAUGGUCGCAAGG